AAAGACGGAACGAACGCAACUGUGGG
rnacentral:sRNA from 1 species